CACAGACAGACCCACUGACACAUCACACACAGACCCACUGACACACACAGACCCACUGACACAUCACACACAGACCCACAGACACACGAGUACACACACGUGCAUUGAUGCACACGCACGCACGGGCGCCCUUCUCCGUGAGCUGUUUUUGGACCCUGAGUUUGUAACGCGGUGCGGCCAAAGCACGUGUGAGUGCACACUUACGCGUGCGUGCGUGCACACACGUGUGUUCAUGCACACGAGUUCACGCGCAUACAUGCACGCGCGUGGCCCCGCGUAAGACGCCUCUGUGGGCUCACGUGUACGCACUGCACACUUGAUAUUGUUUUGGGUUGUGUUUCGUUUUCUUUACUCAUAUAUAUUAAACAAGUAAUUAUUAUAAGGCAGUGUUUCGAAUCAGAAUGCCAUACAUAAUAAUGACACUUUUUGUUCCUGCUAUUAUAAGUAUAUGCCUAUUAGAUGCGCAAAAUUGCACACGCGCGCGCGCGGACACACUUUGCACACGUGCGAUGUACUUGUACGCGCACGUGUGUAUAGUACACCGAUCGCAUUUGCUUAGUUGCCGACUGGCUCGCUUGCCCGUCUGCUUCGCGUGAGUUCACGACAGUGUGAAACCCUAUAUAUAUAGAAGUUGGUUCUUUGGUUGGUAUAGACUCUGUGGGCUAGUGUACAACUCGAAUGAAAUAUCGCAUCCGUAAGUUUUAACAAAAAAAUCUACCGGUUUUUUUUGGCACUGGACGAUCGUGGUCGACAAAUUUACAGGUGGCACGAAAAGUUUUUUUUGUGUUCAUUUCAGAUGUGCCAUGCUUAUGCGUACACCGCAGGGAGAUGGAGCGAUGUAAUCAACUCUAUACAGGUGCUGGGUGGAUCGUCGCAUCGCGGGAUAGUGAAGGGGAUGGUGCCGGAUGGUGGGGAGGCCUUCAUUCAGCAGUAGAAGGAUCAUGGCUCGUCUUUUUAAAAUCAGAAUUUUUGACCCAACUGCAAUGAAUAUUGCCCGUGAAAUUUCACGGUACAAGCCUCUAACACCCCCCCCCCCCCCCCGACCUUCUUAAAGCGUCUCCCUUUGGUGGAAAUUACACAUUUCUAUGGCAGUGGCCAAAUCUUCGAUGGGGCGACUGCUGUUGACCUGCCACAAAGCAGUACCAAAUUGUUCCAGCCUUGUAAAGAUGAUUGGCCUUUUUAAAUACGCUGCGUAGUAGUUAACGACAUAAAGUCGGGCUUAACGCAAAUGCGAUGUUUAGCUUUUAUGGCAGAUCAAGCUUUUGGCUGGCAGGGAUUUUUUUUUUAUCUGCAGCUGUUAACGCCCAAUGCGUAAUAAACCAAAAUGCAGUUGCAUAAACAUUUAUAUUGUUAAAAGAUUUGUCCACCAAAAGUCCAGUGCAUAAGCUGUUUUCAACGCGCCGUUUGACGAAUUGCAAAAUGGAUUAGUGGUCUCAUGACUGUGUCUGUCAGCUGUAGCCGAGGUGGCGGUGGUGAUGAUGUGGGAGGAGAGGUGGGGGGGAGGAGGAGGAAGAAGAAGAAGCGGUAGAGCUAAAGUUGUUCUGCAUCGGUCUCUGAGUACGAGAUCAGUCGCUAGCUUAUCUCUAAAAUAUCCAGAAUAUUUUACAGCAAAACCUCCUUCGUUUAAAGCAACACAUUUUGCACCCACGUUUUUUUAUUUGCCAUUAAGUGUGCGGUGAAAAACUGAAAAUGGUUUCGUUACGUUGAAUUCGGUUUAAUUGCCUGCGGGUGAUAAUGCCGAUGAUGACGUUCAGCAGCUAUUCUGAAUUUUCACGAAUAAAACAUUUAACGAAUCGGAGUUGCGAAUCAACCACGAAUUUAACAUUAAUCCCAUCUAUAAAAUGACACAAAUCUUCAGUUGAUAAACUUUGUCGCGUUAACUAUUCGAAACGCGACCUUUGUGCCAAUCGCAACGGCACUUUAGCUGUCACGUGAUGGAUUCCGCCUCUGCGAUUGGCUGUGGAUGUUGAUUUCCACACAAAAGUUCGAUAGCCAAUCGCGCUCCUCCUCCUCCCCACCUCGUGCCACGCCGUCGCCAGUUAGGGGGACGCACCGCGAUUGGCUGUCGCCUUCCCGGCGAGUUGAAUCUUUUAAACCAAUCGCUGGGCUCGCUUAUGGAAGCGAGGGUAAGGAAACCCCCCCACCCACCCUCCUCCGUUGCGUAUCAGUAGAGGUUGUCACGAUUCAUCGAUGGAUAUCGAUUCGCAUGGAUUCUAAACACGCAUACAUCGUAUCACGCGCAUACGAGUCUAUGUUUUUCCAGUUCAUAAUACAGUACUUGCUGUACCGUCGGUUUGUGUGAGUCGCGCAGCCACGAAAGGCCGCUAUAUUCACCACUGUUCAAAAAUUAUUUUACAAUGGAUGAUCCUUGUCAUGGUAUCACCACGGUGCGAACAUUUUCGAGAAAUUUCACUAAUCGGCGGUCGGUGUGAAUCGUUACAACCCCGGUGACCGGAGCGCGUGGCGGGUUAAUUCAUGUUGGAGUCAGUGUCGCAGUAGUUAGGUAACCUGAUUACGAUUAUUAUUAUGAUGAUCACCUGUGAUGGUAUUCCAAAAAAAAGUGUCAUAUUUUCUGUGUUCUAUUUUUAAGGGGUUGGAGUCGGAAGGUGGUGGCUGGAUAAACCUUCCUGGCCACGGAAAUUGUAUUCCCCAUCUACCUAUCAGCCAAUCGGAACGCGUUCCUGUGCGUAGCCUUAACCCUCGCAUCUUGAUGUCACUGGUGCAACCGCGUGACCCCGUGUGACCCCCCCCCCCCCACUAGCCCCAGCCAAUGGUCAAUGUUUUGAGAACGAGACGCAAAUAUAUAUAUAAAAAACAGUCGCACCGAUGUUUAGUAUUUUGCAGAGGCCAUAAACUCCUGUGUGUUAUGCCCACGACGUAGAAUAAUUGUGUUUACACGUCAGGGGUUACUGUACUAUAACUCCGUGUCAUAAAAAACAACACAAGGUGUUAGCCUGAAAUGUCUCGAUCGAAGGCUAUUUGACAUCGGCUGCGGUGACUGCGUUACCUGGGUCGUCCUGGCCGUCGUAUAUCACCGUUCAAUUACCUCGAUUGAGAAGAGAUGCGUCGUCAUUCGAGGCAGAGUUUGUAGCGGGGGUUUUAUUCGGGAAGACGCCGCCAAAUUGGUUGCCAGUGUUCACGCGAACGCCGAUAUGUCGACUCGUAAACGUGGCGCCUAGAGUAAAAUUACAUAAGAAUACAAAUAACCGCACGCACAAAGACACACGCGUUCAAAGACACAACCACGCACAAUUCACACAUAGGUACACGAUUAUCAAGGAUGUGUUUUUUUUUCGGAUUCAUGCGAAAAGUUAAAUUGGAGAAUCAGGCCGGGAUAUAAGAUGAUUCGAAAAUAAGUAUAUAUAUAAAGCCAACAUUUGCGUCGGAUUGAUCCGAAAUCUUGACAUCGUAUCGAGCGAUCUCACUUGAACGAUGUUUCACCCUCAAAUUUUCUUCCAAAGAGCGGCGUCACUUGGCAUCAGGUGAGAUCACAUUUGUUCGCACAUUUUUGUAACAAUGCGAAACGAGCCCAAAAUCUUCAGUAGAUAAAUUAAAUCCUUACAAAUUGCGAAAAUCUUACAUCUUAAAUGUUGUAUUCUACAAUUCAUAGCGAGUCGAACACAAAUGUACACGUGGACACGUGUACAAGACAAAGAUCCCCCCCGUACAACCUGAACCGACUUUUUGGGGCAAGUGCUGUUCGCGAGGACACGUGCACACGCACAUACUCUCACUUAUAGAUUCGUACACACACGCUCGCACGCGCACGCGCGCACACAAACGCCAAAAUUCCCCGGAGGAAUUAAACCCCCUGAUUCCCGACACGUGGGUUACGCAGCACAGUGACGUCACGGCAGUGGUGGCGGUUCCCAAGAUUUUUUACCGGAACAGAACUCGCUCUCGCGGGGAUCGAGAGAGACAUCGGAUCCUGUUAAAGCGACAACCAUUCACUUUCAUACGGAGCCACGUAAAUGUAACGGGGUUCGGCCCUUUAUCGAUCAACUGCUGGAUGAAGGCCUCUUCCCCCACGCGGUGUCGCUCAUGGGGAGAAGCUUGGCCGUACUUAUCUGGUUGGCGAAGAUUACGGAACCUUACAAAACACGCAUUCGGCUCUUAUCUUGUAGCCACAAUGUCCAGGGCUGUGCUGUUCACUACGAGUUGAAAGCUUCGUCAACGAUAAAAAAAACAUCUACUGUUAAAGUUCCGUAAUGGGCGUGAAAUGGCAGCACUGUUGUGACAUCACUGUGACGUCAUUCUCAUCACCGUACGUUCUCAGACCGCGUGCAAGUUCAAUGACGUCACGGCAAUGCCGUCGAGUCACGGCCCCACAGUUGUGUCGACCGACACGAUGCGACGUAGAGUUUCGGUUUUUGCAGCGUGUUUAAUGAAACGAUCGCUUUAAUGGAGCUCCGUGAAGGUGAAUGGGGGUGUUGAUCGAUGGAUCGCCAUGCGCUCUGCGAACAUCAAAGCUGAAAAGAGACUUCACAAUUAGAAUUGGGGGGGGGGGGGGGGGGGGCGGCACGCUAAGCACCAGGGGCGAGGCGAGGGUCAGGGCCUGGCUGGCUGAGUUUGUUACGAUCAGGGUUAGUGCCAUCGUCUGUUUAGCUAUGUUACUCGGGUUUGGGAAAUGGUCUGGCCGGGUCGUGUGGUUUGGGCUAAAGGUGGGGUUAGAGUCUGGGUAGGUGGUGCAUUAGGGAUAUGGGUAGGGUUAGAGUCUCGGUAGGUGGUGCAUUAGGGAUAUGGGUAGGGUUAGAGUCUGGGUGGGUGGUGCAUUAGGGAUAUGGUAGGGUUAGAGUCUGGGUAGGUGGUGCAUUAGGGAUAUGGGUAGGGUUAGAGUCUGGGUGGGUGGUGCAUUAGGGAUAUGGGUAGGGUUAGAGUCUGGGUAGGUGGUGCAUUAGGGAUAUGGGUAGGGUUAGAGUCUGGGUAGGUGGUGCAUUAGGGAUAUGGGUAGGGUUAGAGUCUGGGUGGGUGGUGCAUUAGGGAUAUGGGUAGGGUUAGAGUCUGGGUAGGUGGUGCAUUAGGGAUAUGGGUAGGGUUAGAGUCUGGGUAGGUGGUGCAUUAGGGAUAUGGGAAGGGUUAGAGUCUGGGUAGGUGGUUCAUUAGGGAUAUGGGUAGGGUUAGAGUCUGGGUAGGUGGUGCAUUAGGGAUUUGGGUAGGGUUAGAGUCUGGGUAGGUGGUGCAUUAGGGAUAUGGGUAGGGUUAGAGUCUGGGUAGGUGGUGCAUUAGGGAUAUGGGUAGGGUUAGAGUCUGGGUAGGUGGUGCAUUAGGGAUAUGGGUAGGGUUAGAGUCUGGGUAGGUGGUGCAUUAGGGAUUUGGGUAGGGUUAGAGUCUGGGUAGGUGGUGCAUUAGGGAUAUGGGUAGGGUUAGAGUCUGGGUGGGUGGUGCAUUAUGGAUAUGGGAAGGGUUAGAGUCUGGGUAGGUGGUGCAUUAGGGAUAUGGGUAGGGUUAGAGUCUGGGUAGGUGGUGCAUUAGGGAUAUGGGUAGGGUUAGAGUCUGGGUUGGUGGUGCAUUAGGGAUAUGGGUAGGGUUAGAGUCUGGGUGGGUGGUGCAUUAGGGAUAUGGGUAGGGUUAGAGUUUGAUUAGGUAGUUAAUUUGGACUAGGGGUAAAAUUAGAUUCUGACGAGGUAGUUCAUUCUGGCUAGGGUUUGAUUCUGGGUAGGUAGAGUUAGGGCUAGGGUUAGAGUUUGAUUAGGUAGUUUAUUUGGACUAGGGCUAGGGUUAGAUUCUGGUUGGGUAGUUCAUUAGGGAUAGGGUUAGAGUCUGGAUAGGUAGAGUAUUAGGGCUAGGAGCUCGUCUCUGGUACGGACGUUUGUUACGGGAAAGUUAUAUCCAGGGUGGGGUUGGGUGGCUUGUCGGGGUCGGGCCGAGUGUGUGAGUGCCGAUGGUGUGGUGAGGGCUGGAGUCUGGGUAGCACUGAGCUUGCCCUGACCCCACACGAAUGUUAUCCCUCUCCCACCUUUGGCAGAUUUUGGCAUUCCGUUAUCCAUUCACUCUUCAGCGUUGGUGUCCACAUCGCGCGUAUUCAGAAUCGGAAUAUGUAUUUAUACUGGAGGAAUCCGAUGAGCUGUAAAGCUCUUUGUCACAGAUGUCCAGUAGCAACCCCACAAGGCCCAAAGCCAUGCACGACCCCUACCUCUGCGCCCCCCCCCCGCUCCGAACCUGCCCCCCAUUAUUUUUUUUGAUAAACCAGUCGCCAGACCCCCCGAGCAGUAGCAGCAGCGAUAUUCGCGAACAGAAAUUUACACCGGCAAUCAAACAACACUUUUGAUAUACUAUAUAUUAUAUACACACAACUCUCUGUCUUUUCAUCAAUUAAUUGAUUGAUUCACCCAUUCAUUGAGUUCACCGCUCACUCAUUCGUUCGUUCUGGACGUUUUCUGCCCGUCGUGUUCAUCGGUGAGUCCGCUCUGUGGUUGUGUAUCUGUAGAUACAGUCAAACUCAUGUAAGACCGCGUGUCUAGUAGCGUUAAUAGAUGCUGUAAGGAGCACGUGUUAUUAAGUAUAGCUCGCCCCCCCCCCCCCCCCGACUCUCUUCGUCUCUCUCCCUCUCUCUCUCUGUCGCUCUCUCUCUCUGAUCUCCUCUUUCUCUGCCGCUGGGAUUAUCGUAACAUGUUGGUUUUUUUGGCUUGAUUUCGGUAUUUUUUUCUUUUCUCCCUUUGAAAUAAAUAACUUUAAUAGUACUGUG